AUGACUUAACUGAAGCAGACGCUGCUCUAUUAUGCUGACAAGUAUUUAAAGAUAUUCCUCGUUCAACAUUUGAACAAACAUUAUACAGACAACUGUAGAGAAAUAUAGUAUGGUACCUCCACACCGGAUCCAUUCACCAGAUAAGAAAUUCAGAGCUUCAAAAUGAUAUUGGAAAAGGACUGUUAAAUGUUGAAAGAUUACAAUGCAGUGUUUUAUACUGGUAUCAGGGAAACUAAUCUGAUCAUAUUCCAUUCCACCUUGCUUUGGUCAUCAGCAGCCAUUAAUUGAACUAGUCACCCGAUGAAUUGGUGUAAUACAAAUUGUUACAACAUGAACAAUAAAAAUGUUUUCAUAUUGAAAA